UCUGGCUCAGGAUGAACGCUAGCGGCAGGCUAACACAUGCAAGUCGAGGGGCAACGCGAGUAGCAAUACUUGGCGGCGACCGGCGCAAGGGUGCGUAACGCGUGAGCAACAUGCCCGUAUCAGGGGGGAUAAUCCAGGGAAACUUGGUCUAAUACCCCAUAGUAAUUUUGUAAGGCAUCUUAUAAGAUUUAAAGCUUUGGUGGAUACGGAUUGGCUCGCGUGACAUUAGCUGGAUGGUAAGGUAACGGCUUACCAUGGCUAUGAUGUCUAGGGGUUCUGAGAGGAAGGUCCCCCACACUGGAACUGAGACACGGUCCAGACUCCUACGGGAGGCAGCAGUGAGGAAUAUUGGACAAUGGAUGGAAAUCUGAUCCAGCCAUGCCGCGUGAAGGAAGAAGGUCCUAUGGAUUGUAAACUUCUUUUGUAUGGGAGCAAUAAGGCCUACGUGUAGGUUGAUGAGAGUACCAUACGAAUAAGCACCGGCUAACUCCGUGCCAGCCGCCGC
rnacentral:rRNA from 1 species